rnacentral:lncRNA from 1 species
UGGAUGUCAUUGCAUCCACCCUGUGAGGAUGACCAGAGGCCCAAUCAUACUUUUCUAGCUCUUGCUGAGACAUGAAAUAAAGAAAUCUGCACAGCUGAGCCAAGGUCAAGGUUCAGGAAGAAAGAGGAAUGCUCAGCCACUCUAAGCCACCUUGUGCCUAAGGGUAACAUUGAACCUGGGUCUACAUCCUGUCAUCAGGGUAAAGAGGAAGCAGCAGAUACUUGCCAGGGGUGAGGGUGAAUAGAAAGAGGUUAGGAGGAAGAGAUGUGAAGAAACUUUGGAUAUUGACAUCAUUUUCAUCUUUACAUUAUUUUGUCCACAUAGCCAAUGAAUUUUCUGCAUAAUCUUUUAAGUCUCCAGGGUUCAUUCUAUUUGUUUGAACACAACAAGCAAUGUGAAAAAGAUUCUCUGUGUCUUGUUCUACAAGUCUGGGAUUAGUAAGAGGCUUGUGCAGUGCCAAUUGUAAGGACAUAAAACAUUGCAUCUUAAGUUUUGUGUAAAUAAGUUUGAGGGAAUGAGGUAAGACAUCUAGAAGAACUGGGGGUAAAUAUACUGCCAAAGGUUGUACUGGUGGAGUGAAAGUUUACUAUAUAGGAGAAAGCCUUAAGCCCUUUUUUAGCAGACAUAUGUUCAAAAGUUGGGUGUGUAUGUGUGUGCAUUUUUUUUUUUCACAGUGAAGUCAAAAGGAAGAUAGUAUCACGAAACUGUAACAGUCAGAGGAACAGUGAAGUAACUGUCUCAAGAACUCAGAGCAACAAGAAAAACAGACCAGAAGACUUUCUGAGAACAGAAAUUCUGUCAGUCUUUAAAACGUGGCAUGAUUCUCCCAGACACCAGGGCUGCUUAAAAGAAGCAGUCUGAGGGCAUUUCCUCAUUUCUUUUCUGCAGCCAUCACAGAAAGAAAUCCAUUGCUGCCAUUAAUGAUAAACAUAGAUCUGUUGACAGACCCAUCUUUUUUCUUUAACAUUUACUUAUGUACUUUUUUGCAACUAUAAAUUAUAAUCACUCCUAUACCUGUAACUCUUUACAGUGUGUUCAAUUAAAGAAUAAGCAGCCCAGCAUAGGUCAGUGGAUUUGUCCAUAGAUUCUCAUUUAUCAAUAACUACCAAUAAUGGCAGUAAUAACAAUACUCACGAUAUUGACAUUUUUACAGUAGGGAAUUCAUUACUGCUUCAAGUUUCAAGUAAAAAGAAAAGAAAUAAAUAUCACAUUCCCUGUUUCCAAAGGACAAAUUAAUCCUCAUUUCUGUCUGUGGAAAUAAAGGCAUUAUUUAACUUUUCAAAACUUCUAUUGUUUAAAGUGACUGGAAAGAGAACUUAAAGAGAAGGUCUUGAAAUCAGGAAGAUGGAAGAGAUAGAAGAGGGAAGGCUUGAGCAUUCACAAAGGGUAAGAUUAUCUCAGGAGGAAAACCAACAGAAGAAUUAGAACAUGAUAAAAAGAACCCAAGAGGUAAGCAGAGUUUUGAUGAAGUGACAUCUAAUUCCAUUUGUGAGCAGGAGGUCUGAGGUCCCCAAAGAGAGUGGUGAUAAGGACAGGAGCAGGUCGAUAAAAGAUCUGAGACCCAGGGACUGGCCGGCACUUUGAUUUGAUGUUAACUCAGAAAGUUUGUGAGAGAAACACAAUAUUAUCUGCAUAUAGCAUUGGGGGUAGAAGAAGACAGAGGCCCAUGACAGACACUGGCAUUGAAAACUUGAAAAGUUUUGAGGAUAAUACUUCAGGAUGUUCAUAAGUGAUCACCAGAGCCUCAGAACAAGAACCAAAGGAAAUAUUCAAAUGCAUAUAUUUUAUUCAGGUGCAGUGGGGAAAAUCUGCAUAGUUGACCCAGGUUUACCUGUAUAAACAGAAUGUGGAAUUCUUAAAGAUCAGAUUUUUGUUGUAUAAAUCAGGUGAGAUUAGAGAGAUGACAGAGAAAAUGGAUGGAAGUAUCUGAUAAAAAAAAAAAAAAGCAAGACUGUUUUAAGUAGUUUUCUUUUUUUGAGUGCAUUUUCUCAUUUUCUGCUUCACAUCCAUUGCUCUAUGAUAGUGAAUACCUUCUGGACUGAGUCCCGUUCUUGGCUUUGCCUGUCAAUUACUUUCUAUGGCAGCUACUUGUUCUCUUACCUUCCACAGUAAUAUUUACGAUUCAUGAGUCUGGAGGUUAAGGAAGCAAGUGCUUGUCUGCUUGCCAUAAAUUAACACUGUCUGUUUAAAACUCAUUACCCUGCUUUCACAUACUGGAAAGGAAUAAUAAUAAUAAAAAAAUGCUGUCAUUGUCUGUGUCCUUUGCUGGCUGAGGCUGAUGUGUAACAGCAGGUGCUUUAGAAAGAAAUGCUGUUGGCACUUGUAAGGCUGGCCAGCCAUAGCUCUGUCCUUUUUGCUCAAGGAAACAACAUCGUUUCCUUUGAGUAGUACUGUCAGGAAGGAUUUUUGCAGAAUAGCUCAGACAAACAAAAUGACACAACAUGAAAAUAAUUUCAGAACCAGGAGUGACUGCAGAUGUGAGAACAUCACUGGUCAAUGAUUACAUGAGAAGGGUCUUUUUAAUAAUCUGUCCUUGAAUAAACUUGCCAAUCAUAAAAAUCUCUGCCUUUAAUCAUUUCUACUUGUUAGAGGUAUGAUUGGAUAUAUUCAAAGAGCUGCAAACCUCUGCAUAUAUGUAAAUCGAAGCAUGUCUCGGGACAUUACAUUAAAAUAUCCAGGAUUAAGUGGAGGGUUCUGUCUAAUUACAGUGUAAGAAUCAUUUACAAAACUAUUUCCAGAACAUAUAGUUACAGCUUACAUUUCUUUAGGGCCUUACAGAAUUCAAAGCACUCAAGUUAUUUUAUUUGAUCCUCAAACAGGCAUGGGGAACAAUAUCACAAUUCCUGUGUUCCCUAGGAACAAAGUGAGGCUUAGAGAGUCUAAGAGUUCUGCCCAAAAACACAUAGUCAGUAAAGAGGCGCAAUGAUACAAGAAUCCUGAUCCCAGCCCAGACUUAGGACAAUUUUUGUAUUUCCAUAUUCUAUAUCUAAAUGUUUUGAGAUAUUUCCAAGAAAUGUAGAAUUAUUUGUGGGGGUGCAGAGAGAAGUUGAUAUUAUUGCAUCUACAGAAGAACCUGUGUCUGGGUAAUUCCCAUUUUGGCUCAGCAGUAACGAAUCCAACUAGCGUCCACUAGGAUGCAAUCCCUGGCCUUGCCCAGUGGGUGAAGGAUCUGACAUUGCCGUGAGCUGCGGUGUAGGUCAUAGACACAGCUCGGAUCCAGCGUGGCCAUGGCUGUGGUGUAGGUUUACAGUUAUAGCUCCAAUUCAACCCCUAGCCUGGGAACUUGCAUAUCCGCAGGUGCAGCACUAAAAAGAAAAAAAAAAAAAAAGUACCCGUGUCUGUACCCAUCCUUACCAUGUCUUCUAUGUCUCAGAAGAUCUUAACCCAACUGCAUUCACUCACCAUUUCAUCUCUAGAACACAGAGAAGUCUCCGGUGCACAGAAGUUGUACAAGCAGGCCUCUGAUUUCCAAUUUUGCACAUGGGAAGCUUGGAAGCCACCUUUCUGUCUGAACAAUGAGUGAAAAGCUGAACAGACUGAAAUAUCAACAACUCCCUUGGAUAUAAAAAGAGGGGCAGACACAGCACAAACUGCUGCCCCCAAGACUGGAGAGACCAACAAGCAAAUGCAGGAAUUUGUGGCUUCCUUGAGGAGAGUCACAUGGAAUCACCAGAUUCCAGAGCACUCCAAGGAAAGAAUAGGGAAACCAGAGCUAUAAUUGAUGAAGCUUUGGAGACACAGUGUGGGCAGGUCUGAAGGUUAAAAACCCCAAGAAGACUCAGUCAUAGGGACACCCAAAUACUAUGAGACUUAAUUCCAGGAGCUCAGCUAGGUUCCCACAGUAAACAUCUGAGAAAAAUCCCCUCAUGUUGCUAACAGGGCCAGGGUAAGGGAACCAUUUAAAAGAGCCAGGGCCACUGUGUUCUUCUUAACAAGGCCUGUCCUCAGGGGAAACUAGUUAAGCAAAGCCUACCCUGCUGCCGAAUUCCUUAUCUGAGCCUAAGUGAUCUGGAGAAGGGAAACUCAACUCCAGCCCACUCCGGCCAUGCUGACCUACAUAAAGUGGGAGGAAAAAACUGGGAAACACUUGUGAAGUUCGUAGUCCAUAAGUAUAUUAUUACUAAAAGACAGAAUUAAUCACUGGUUGUACAAGGCCUCACCUCCCCAUGUACCUCACCAAUUUGAGACUGGCCUUUCUGUGGUCUGAAAAUUAUCAACACAGUAAUUCUUACUUUCUGAAUGCUAAAAACAUGUUGGGAAAACAUAUGUAAAGUGAAGACAGGGGCUAUGGGAAUGAACAAUGUCUUUAGUUUUCAUUAGAUUCUCAAAAGAUUUCUCUGACCUCAAAAAAUGUUUGAGAGUAUUCUCUAGUAAUAAACAAAGCAACUAAGGUUUCUGAUGUGGAAAUAAGUUUCACAUCUGGGUGAAACCCAUAUUGCCUCACUUGUAUUCCAAUUUUGGUUUUGUUAACACACGAUGGUGAGUAUUUGGGUAGUUUUCCAUAAAUCUUUAGUGACAACUUUUUUAUACUUAAAAGUCACAAACAAGUGACAAUUUCCAAGGCAUUAUUAGGGUUAGGCCCCUAAUAAUAUAUGAAUCUUAAUUACAUCAGACAAGAAUUGGAUAUUUAUAAUGUUUUUAUUUAUGGUUUCAAAAGCCCCAAAUCACGUUGCAUCCUUUAAGCUAGUUGAAGUCACUCCUGUAGUCCCUUGUUGUUUAUGGUGUAUGUUGAGGGAAGGAUAGGGGUCCGGGGGCGAUAAAGGACUAUGCAUAAUGAAACUAUUAAAAUUAGAAUUUUCUUAAUUAUUACUAACAAUUUGUUUUAAAGUUUCUGUUUCAGGUGUUCCCGUCGUUGCUCAGUGGUUAACAAAUCUAAGAACCAUGAGGUUGUGGAUCCGAUCCCUGGCCUUGCUCAGCGGGUUAAGGAUCCGGCGUUGCCGUGGGCUGUGGUGUGGGUCGCAGAAGUGGCUCAGAUCUGGUGUUGCUGUGGCUCUGGCAUAGGAUGGUGGCUACAGCUCCGAUUAGACCCCUAGCCUGGGAACCUCUGUGUGCCACAGGAG